UACAGAGGGUGCGAGCGUUAAUCGGAGUUACUGGGCGUAAAGGGCGCGUAGGCGGUUGUAUGAGUGUGAUGUGAAAGCCUCGGGCUUAACCUGGGAAGCGCAUCGCAAACGAUACGACUGGAGUAGAUGAGAGGGUGGCGGAAUUUCCGGUGUAGCGGUGAAAUGCGAAGAGAUCGGAAGGAACGUCGAUGGCGAAGGCAGCCACCUGGCAUCAUACUGACGCUGAGGCGCGAAAGCGUGGGGAGCGAACAGG
rnacentral:rRNA from 1 species